ACACCUUAUGUAAACCUCUACUCUUGUGCCACUACAUUGAAGUUGUUUAUGAAUCUGUUGCCUUCUAGAGCUAAGAUCUUCAAGGACAGAAGACAUCUACUCAUCCCUCCAUUAAUCACUUCUUGCACUGUAAUCAUCACUUUACACAUCCACAGCUCCAACAAAUCUAAAUUUUUGAAAGCAGGACUGGUGUUUUUUAUGUGUGUUUCUGUGUGCCCAGCACACAGCCAGCAUAUGAUGCCAUAGUGAAAAUAAGAAAACACACUGUGGGAAAACACAAAAAUGAGCCUUGACUCCUAGAUAAAAGGUAUGAACCACUAGUUGCAGGAUCUCAGGGACUAAUAAGUAUAUGAAAAAGCACACCACUUAGCUAUAAAACAUAUU
rnacentral:lncRNA from 1 species